GUGGGGAAUAUUGGACAAUGGGGGGAACCCUGAUCCAGCCAUGCCGCGUGUGUGAAGAAGGCCUUUUGGUUGUAAAGCACUUUAAGCGAGGAGGAGGCUACCGAGAUUAAUACUCUUGGAUAGUGGACGUUACUCGCAGAAUAAGCACCGGCUAACUCUGUGCCAGCAGCCGCGGUAAUACAGAGGGUGCGAGCGUUAAUCGGAUUUACUGGGCGUAAAGCGUGCGUAGGCGGCUUUUUAAGUCGGAUGUGAAAUCCCCGAGCUUAACUUGGGAAUUGCAUUCGAUACUGGAAAGCUAGAGUAUGGGAGAGGAUGGUAGAAUUCCAGGUGUAGCGGUGAAAUGCGUAGAGAUCUGGAGGAAUACCGAUGGCGAAGGCAGCCAUCUGGCCUAAUACUGACGCUGAGGUACGAAAGCAUGGGGAGCAAACAGGAUUAGAAACCCUUGUAGUCC
rnacentral:rRNA from 1 species